CCGGAUUGCUGGUCGGAGGUUUGCGGAGACUCUCGGAUGGAAGCCACAGGUCGACGCCGCGUCUACUGGUGCGCGAAAUCCUGGGCAUUGAGUCCGGCCGGCACUCCGAAACUGCUGGCCAGNNNNNNNNNNNNNUCCCACUGACCCGCAAUAAAAUCGGGCUUGUGCCGCAUCAGGGCGAGUCAGCUGGGUAUUCGCGAGGAGCUUGCCACACAAAUGUGCGCGGCGCUGGUAGCUCCCAUCACGCCAAGUCCUCGUGGAGCAGCGCCGUGUUGAUCCAAUGGCCGCNNNNNNCGGCAGCGGCGAUGAUGGCCUGCAGCACGUCGCGCGACGCAUCUCCUGCCACAUAAAGACCCGGCACAUGGGUCAUCUGCUGGUCGUUGUCCACUGUGCAGCCCUUGGGACUAUACGUGUCGCAACCGAGACGCGCCGCGAGAUCGGUGGACUGGCGACUUUCCGUGU
rnacentral:misc_RNA from 1 species